AAUACCCGAGCGUUGCGGUGGGCGGGGCUUAGAGAGCCGAGCGGUGCCGGAAAUACCCGAGCGUUGCGGUGGGCGGGGCUGAGAGAGCCGAACGACGACGGAAAUACCCGAGUGAAGCCGAGGGACGCGCGGAAAGUAGCGGAAACACCCGAUUGGUGGAGGAGGGAGCUGAAAAACCAUCAAGAGAAUUAAUUGAUGGCUCCGAACCUUUCCGAGCGAUGCCGGGAAUUGCCGAGCGAAUUCGGGUGGAAUUCCGAAAAAAAACCCAAAAAAACCCGAUGAUUCCCCUGACGGCCUCACCCGCCAGGGGGCGCCCCACAUCCCUGGCGCCUUUCCCGCCUUUUCUCCUCCCUCAGCGCUCGCGCCCCGCCCCCUUUCCCGGCAUGCCCCGCGCGCUAUUUAAAGGCCCGUGAGGGAGCGCGGCGGCCAUUUUGUCCCAGCACCGGUUGAAGGAGUGUUUUUGCUGAGGAAAUGCUCCUCCUGUCCGAGGCGAGAGCGAGCCGUGGGGCCUCAGCUCUCGGAUCAUGGAGUCCCCAUCUGUGGGUUCACCAUGGCCCCUCCCCAGUGGGAGAUGUCUGAGCCCGGGGUGACCCUCAGGCCACCAUGAAGUGACAACAGUGACCCCCCUCAGCCACGGGACCCCCCCUGACCCCCCCAGUUUCCAUCAUGGCCACGGGAGCUGCGGGUUCCAUGGGGCCUGGGUCCUGAACGGGGUGACCCCAACCCCCAUGGAGGAUUUUGGGGGGUUUGAUUCCAAUUCUUAAUCUGGGGAAAAUUCAAGGUGCUGCAGGUGAACAGAGGCUCAGGUGAGUCUGGGGGGUUUUGGGGGAGGGGAGUUUAAAGGUUUAGAAAAGGAAUUUGCAGUUUAGGGAGAGGGUUUGUAAAGUUUGGGGAUUUGAGUUUUGGGGUGCGGGGAGGGGAUUUUGGGUUUUUUGGAAAGGAGGUUUUGGGUUUUGAGAAAAGAUUUUGGGUUUUGGGAGUUUUAGAGUUUAGGAAAAAGAAUUUUGGGGUUUGGGGGGAUUAUUUGAGGGUUUCAGAGGGGAUUUUGGGGUAUGGGGGGGAAUUUGAGGGUUUCAGAGGGAAUUUUGGGAUUUAGGGAGGGGAUUUUGGGGGUGUUUUGGGGUCCCCCUGCCGAGGAUGAAGCGAUACCGCCCCAGACUGAGCCCUGUGAUUGGUCGGUUCCCUCUGAGGCUCUGGGGGGACCCGGGGGGGUUUUGGGGGGUCCAUGGGGGGCGUCGAGGCUUUGCGGAGGGGGGGCACAAAUAAAAGUUUAAGGAUCCUACAAAAAUUUCAAGACUCAAAACUUCCUUCAAUUUCCUUUUUCCAGCUCUUGGAUAAUGAAAAGUGUCAAUAUUGCAAAUAAAAAUCGCUGUUUUUGUUAAAAA